rnacentral:rRNA from 1 species
GACGAACGCUGGCGGCGUGCUUAACACAUGCAAGUCGAACGGAAAGGCCCUGCUUUUGUGGGGUGCUCGAGUGGCGAACGGGUGAGUAACACGUGAGUAACCUGCCCUUGACUUUGGGAUAACUUCAGGAAACUGGGGCUAUUACCGAUAAGGGCUCCCUCCUCAUUGUUGGGGUUGGGAAAGUUCGGCGGUUGGGGAUGGACUCGCGGCUUAUCAGCUUGUUGGUGGGGUAGUGGCUUACCAAGGCUUUGACGGGUAGCCGGCCUGAGAGGGUGACCGGCCACAUUGGGACUGAGAUACGGCCCAGACUCCUACGGGAGGCAGCAGUGGGGAAUAUUGCACAAUGGGCGGAAGCCUGAUGCAGCAACGCCGCGUGCGGGAUGACGGCCUUCGGGUUGUAAACCGCUUUCGCCUGUGACGAAGCGUGAGUGACGGUAAUGGGUAAAGAAGCACCGGCUAACUACGUG